AUGAAGUGGACUUGUAAGUUUUGCAAUUUUGCCUCAUACAAGCAAAAGGCUAUAGUAAAUCAUUACAAGGACAAGCAUGGACGUGGAAUAACUGGUUUUAGUUGUAUUUACCCUAAUUGUUUUACUGUCUUUCAAUCCCAUGUGGAACUUGUACAACAUUUGAAGUGCCACAAGCAAGGAACGAGUCCCAUUGCUAAACUUCGAUGUGAACUUUGUAGUUUUUCAGCGCCAAGCAACAUCAAACAUUAUUUUCUUCAUUUAAAGAGACAUUUGAUAAAUAGAGAGACUGUGAAUUGCCCGUUUGUGGGGUGCUCUUUUAAAUCUAGAGUAGCCUCAACUUUUACUGCUCACAGAAGCCGGCAUCAUCAGGCUUCUACAUUCAAUCAUUUCAAACCUGAACUUAUUCUUCAUUGUCUCAGUCAAGAUUCUGUCAAUGAUGAUGAGGAUAACUUUGAUUUAGAGUCACCAGAUGUUUCAGUGACUGAACCUGACUCUCAGCCUACACAGAAGUCAGCUGAGCGCCGAAUUGCAUCCCUUUUCCUUCGACUGCAAGCCGUCCUUCAUGUGUCAAAGUCUGCGAUUCAAGAACUUGUGGAUGAUUUGUUUGAUAUUGGAGAACGUGCUGGACAAAUAACUAGGGAGUCAAUUGAGAAUGUUUUGAAGGAGCAUAAUUACUCAUCUGAGGAAUGUUUGACAUCGUUGACUGAAGCAUUUCAAAGUGCUAACCCACUUAAUUUGCUUUCAAGGGAAGGAUCUUUAGGCACCGACUACAAAAGACAGUCAUGUUACAAAGAGAACUUUAAUGUCAUUGAGCAUGUCGAAUAUCUUUUGAACAGACAAGAAAAGUCUCAUACUGUUAUCUAUAUCCCUAUUCUAAAGUUACUUUCCAAUCUUCUUAAAAGAGAAGAGGUACUGCAAGCAUUAGCGAAAAACAAACCAGUUGAACAGUCUGGCCACUACAAGUCUUUUCUGGAUGGUGACUUCUAUAAAUCGAAUGGAAUUCUCUCAGGUCAAGAACUAAGUGUAGCUAUUACUUUGUAUAUUGACGACUUUGAAAUCUGCAAUCCGUUGGGCACAUCAAAAAAUAAACAUAAAGUCUGUGGUGUGUAUUGGGCUAUUGGGAAUUUACCCUCUGGGUACAAGUCAGCAUUGUCAUCAAUCUACCUUGCUUUACUGUGCAAGGUUGAGCAUGUCAGGAUUUAUGGUUAUGAUAGUGUUUUGAAGCCACUGAUUGACGAUAUUAAAUGUCUUGAAAGAGUUGGUGUGUUUGUAGACAAACUAGGGUGUAAUGUUAAAGGCACCAUCUUGUUUGUUGCUGCUGACAACUUAGCUGCACAUUCCUUAGGUGGUUUCCAAGAGUCGUUCAAUGUUGAGAAGUUUUGUAGGUUUUGUCUAGUUAGUCGUAAAGACAUACAGACGUGUGAUGUUAGAACUGGGAACUUUGUUUUAAGGUCACCAGAGUCAUUUGAUGAAGCUGUAAAUGUGUUGAAGCAGAGUGACGUUGCAUCUGUUGAUGGUGUGAAACGAGACUGCCCUCUCAACAGCCUGACAGGAUUUCACACAAACACAGGCUUUCCACCUGAUUUCUUGCAUGUGUUGGAUGGGAUUGUACCUGUAGAACUAAGUCUGUGCCUUGCAGAUUUGAUUUCAAAGAAGUAUUUCACAUUAGAAGAGCUCAAUAGUGAAAUACAGAGCUUUCCUUUUAAAUUCUCUGAUAAGACAAACUGUCCCCAGAAAAUUCCUUCAACUUUUCGAAAGACUGGAACUGUAGGUGGUAAUGGCCACGAAAAUUGGAGUCUUGUGCGUUUCCUUCCCCUUAUCAUCGGCCACCGUGUUCCAGAAGGAGAUCAAACAUGGGAAAUAGUCCUUGAACUGAAAGACUUGGUUGAGCUCUUGGCAACUCCAUCUUACACUUUAGACCGACUUUGUUAUUUGCAGUCCAAAAUAUCGGAUCAUAGACAGUUACAACUGACAGUUUUCCCAGAUUACAAGUUACGCCCCAAACAUCACUUCAUUGAGCAUUAUCCAUGCCUAAUUCAAAGGUUUGGACCCUUAAUAGAGUGUUGGACAAUCAGGUUUGAGGCUAAACAUUCUUUCUUUAAAAAGGUAGUGCGUGAUGCCAAUAACUUUAAAAACAUUCUGCUUACCCUGGCCUCAAGACACCAACUUAUGCUUGCAUAUUAUCUUGAAAUGCCUAGCAUUUUCAAGCCUGAGACUGAGACGGCAAAAGUGACUGAUGUCUGCCUGGAAGUCUUAGAUGGUGGUGUUAGACUAGCAAUCUUGAAUAGAUUCAGUGAUGUUGACACAGUUGGACUGACCCCUAGUAUCUUCUUAAAUGGAACGCAGUAUUCAAAGGGAAUGAUACUCUCUGUUGGAAGUACAAGUGGACUACCAGACUUCGGAAGGAUUUUGGAAAUAUGCAUUGUGCUGGCUGGUCAUGUUUGUUUCUUCAUUGAGCGUUUUACGACUUUCUACGUGGAGCAUUUGAGGAGUUACCAUCUCGUGAAAAAAAGCCCUGCUGAGUGUCUCUUGGUGAAACCAGAGGAUCUCAAUGACUACAUGCCACUUGUGUCAUACUUCAUCCAGGGGCGCCUGUUAGCCACUCCCAGAACUUUCUUGCUUUCUUGA
rnacentral:lncRNA from 1 species